UAGCUCUGUGGUAGAGCACUUGUCUAAGAAAUAUGAGACCCUGGGUUGGAAUUCCAG
rnacentral:tRNA from 1 species